rnacentral:tRNA from 1 species
UCCCUGCUGGCUCAGACAGCAAAGAGCCUGCCUGCAGUGCGGGAGACCCAGGUUCCAUCCCUGGGUCGGGAA